rnacentral:rRNA from 1 species
GACGAACGCUGGCGGCGCGCUUAACACAUGCAAGUCGAACGGAAAGGCCUGCUUUCCCUUGUGGAUUGCGGGUACUCGAGUGGCGAACGGGUGAGUAACACGUGAGUGAUCUGCCCCCAACUUGGGUAUAAGCCUGGGAAACUGGGUCUAAUUCCCGAUAGGACUGCAGGGUGGUGCCUGUGGUGGAACACGAUUUUCUAGUGGUUGGGGAUGAGCUCGCGGCCUAUCAGCUUGUUGGUGGGGUAAUGGCCUACCAAGGCGGCGACGGGUAGCCGGCCUGAGAGGGUGGACGGCCACAUUGGGACUGGGAUACGGCCCAGACUCCUACGGGAGGCAGCAGUGGGGAAUAUUGCACAGUGGGCGGAAGCCUGAUGCAGCGACGCCGCGUGGGGGAUGACGGCCUUCGGGUUGUAAACUCCUUUCGACCGCGAGGAAGCCACCUGGUUGGAAGGGUGGUGACGGUAGUGGUAGAAGAAGCACCGGCUAACUACGUG